GCCGGGCGUGGUGGCUCACGCCUGUAAUCCCAGCACUUUGGGAGGCUGAGGUGGGUGGAUCACUUGAGGUCAGGAGUUUGAGACCAGCCUGGCCAACAUGGUGAAACCCCAUCUCUA
ensembl:misc_RNA Metazoa_SRP Metazoan signal recognition particle RNA